CCCAGACACGCACCCUCCUCGCUCCCGCCGGCCCACUCCCCCCCCUUCUCUCUCUCUCUCGGCUGGCUUCAGUUGUAACUCUUAUCUAAGGAGGAGGAAAAAAGAAAGCGAGGAUGCCCAAGUUAUCUUUCCGCAGCCAAUGGGGGAGGCGGUCGCGCCUCACAUGACUCUGUUUCCAGACCCCCCCCCUCCCCAAUCUUCUUCACACGGGCAGGAUUGAGGAGUUCUUCAGUAGAGCAACUGCCGCUCGCCCAGCCGGCGGGGCCGCGUCAAGUGGGGGAAUGUCUGCGACCCAAGGCGAGCGCGGCUUUCUUCCGAGCUGGGGCUUGACACGCGCCCCCGACACGCGCGCCCGGCGGGACAGUCCCCGCCGCCGCCGCCGCCAAGGAAAGCACCGCCACCGCCACCACCACCACCUUGGGAAUUCUGCGUCUUUGAUAAUUCUCCUCACGCCGGAGGCAGCCCGGCGGGCGGCGGCGACGACGACGACGACCCGGGCGACUCGCAGAGCAGCUCGAGACCAUGAGUAAAGAGAGACAGAAUGGUGAAAAAAAUAGCUUGAGAUGGUUGGUCCAGCACCUCGGACUUCUUAGGAGGAGCAGAAGAGGCUUGUUGUCAGAUCUCCAAGAUCAGAUCUGCUAUCAACAUAUAGAAGCCUGUGCUGCCCAGUGAUUGGACAUCUACAAUGUGCCCAGUCUUUCCCGGAUCAUACAAUGGAUUCUGAAGACACACGUGUGAUAGGAUGUGACAAGGAUUUCAGGAAACAAGGCAAGCACAUGUCAAGCUGUACAAUAUGAUGAAGGUGUGAUGAAGUAGAAGACAGAAUGAAGUUGAAACCAGUAAAAAUGGUAAAUAUUAAUAAAAGAAGAUGUAAGGAAGACUUCAGAAAUCAAGCCAACGAGCUGGACCCAAAGGCAAAGCUGUGGUUAGCUACAUGGCCAAGAAGGAGCGAACAUAGAGGACUAGCAUCUGAAGUUAAAGAAUUACAGUGUUUCUGUCCAAUCCAAACACUUCAUAUUGCUUGAGGUAGUUCAUAUCUCCUAUGAAUGGGAAACAGUUCUAAAGCUUCUCCAAGUAUCAACUGGCUCGGCAUCAUUCUUGAAAUAGCUCACUACCAAGCUAAAUAUUACUCUCAGAGCAUGAGAGUCUCAGUUUCAAGAUCCUAAAUUUCUGAAUUCCAGCACUCACUAGACAUUUGAUUCCAUUGAAAUAAGCUUGGGGAAAGUUAGCCUUUCUGAGCCUGCAGCCUGCAUUUUCAUAUGUAGCAAACUGAACUCUCAAGUUAUAACAAAUACUUAAUGGCUUCUCAUUUACUUUUAAGUUUUUAUUCUGCUGUUAGGACAAGCAGUCAAUUAGAAACAAUCAUCAUGUGACACUUAAAAAAAUAAGCCAGCUGUCCUGUUUGUGACAGGGGGUAACAAUUGAAUUGUAUGUAAUUGUUGCAGGGUGGGGAGGGCACCUACAAAUAGCCUCAUCAUGGCACCUCACCCCCAUAACAUGUAGAAGAAGUUCACAUGUUGAGCAGGGCUCUGUCAUUUCAGAUCCUUCUGUAUCCCUGUUUGGUGUGGACCUGAAGGCAUCCUGUAUAUUUCAACCCAUCUGGGAACGGUAUUAGAGGCCAUUUUCAGCAGCAUCCCUGUGACAACCAUAUAGGUGCUCCACAUUUCUAAAAGAGUCAGAUUAAUUCCUCUAUUAGUGGAAUAUGGCUGCAUGGAAAUUAACACAGAGUGGUUGUGUGACAUUAUUGUAUGAUAGCUUAACUAAAGCUGUUGCUCCUUCCACUGUCCUUAAACUUCCUAACUAUUGGGAGGUGGCUACUAUCUUGAGAUAGAAUGAAUGGAUUAAUGUAGCUCAGUUAUGGAUAUUUGAACCUGGAUCUCCUUUAACUGCUAUUCUUCACUUCCUUUAUUCUUUUAGUGGGUCAAUUUUUGUUCUAAAAUAAUAUUUCUAUUCUGAAAAGCAGCAUUUCCAAAAAGAAAAAAAACAGAUUAAAAGGAUGUCACAUUACAUAAGCAAUCUCCAUAUUAUUUCAGACAGCCAUGGGAGCUUCGGAAGGGAUUACCUUCCUUAUGGAAGGAAGCCAUUGGCAUGUACACUUCUUGUAUCAUUCCUUUGUAUUGAAAGCCCAAGAACAUGUAGAAGAGGCCAAUAAUAUUGCCUAAGUUUUUCCCUAGUACGGUGGCUCUUUGCUUGUGAACUUGGGCUCCUCAUGACACUGAAGGACACACUGUAGCAGCCCUCCUGCUGUUCAGUUUCCCUCAGAAAGGGACCUCAGCCAUACAUUGUAUAGUUUUCAUCUGACUAUGCAAACUAAGUGGAUAUGCAACAUGCCAAAACAGAAGAAAUGCUUAGUUAAAACAGACUUGGCUGGAUCUUGCUGAAAUCUCAUGGGACUAAGUCCCAUUAUAUCCACUUGGAUUUAUCUAUAGAUUCAGCUGCCUAAGAUUGGACAGUUCAUUUUCUCCAUGCCCUUAUGAUGUAAUAACAUGCUGAUCUUAGUGAGUAUGUAUGUACUAUAGUAUAUGUAUUCCAUUUAUUUUAUUGCAUUCUCAACCAAGCACUAAACAGAGUUUUCUGGGGCAUGUACCAUCUGUAUCCUAUUUAGUAACAGCUAUCUCAUCCGGAAAUCCAAUUUCUGCAGCAACAGAGUAUCACUAUUAAUAUUAUAGUACUACCCAUAUAUUUAGUCUGUAACAACAAAUAGGAAGAUCUGUCUCUGUCCUGAGAGGCUUAAAAUGUAUAUAUCAACAAAAUGGUGACAGCAGUGGAAAUGAAGAUAAAUGUAAGCUCUGUUGCAUGCAUUCAUAAUCUGUUAAACAGAAUGUGUAAGAUAGGGGAGUCCCUUCCUCACUCUCUGCUUAUGGAACACAAUAACCUGGAGAAGAGUGUUUGCUCUGCUUAUGGAAGCUCUUCACAGGAUCAAGACCCCUGUUUUAAUGGAAGAUUUUCUUCUCAGACUCUUACUCAUCACAUGGGGGUAGCAUGCACCACAUCCUCUUAUAUUGGGCUUAAAUCAUUUAUGAAUGUCCCAGGUAGGAUAUAUAGGGGGAAGAAAAGGGGAUAGUUAUUUUUCAUGGAGUUCUUGGAAGUAGCAAUAUAAUUAUGAAAUUCCCUCCCUUGAAAACUCGCCAGAGUUCAAAUAUGAAAAUUCUCCUGGAAAAGAUCAGUUGAUUAUAUUUUGUGACUGAGAACAAAUUUACCUGGAAGCAGAUAAAAUCGCUUUGAUGUCAACUUUUCAAAUAUUAAAAUGUUGAUACAUGUUGUCAUAUGUACAGAUAUUUGUGGUUAUGCAGUGCUAUGAUCUGUCUGAUCAACCCUUAAAAUGGGGGCGUGAGAAAGAAAAAAGAUAUAUAAGCAGGUAUAAUAUAGAGGCCAAGAAACUGAACUGUGUACCAACUUUUCCACACUACUACCAUGAUCUCAUUCUGCAGUCUAGGGCAAUCCUACUGACAUUCAGUCACCAUUAUUAUAAUGUUCCUGGUGGAUCUGCUGUAAACAUUAAUU